UACGUAGGCAGCAAGCGUUGUUCGGAAUUACUGGGCGUAAAGAGUGUGUAGGCGGUGUUCUAAGUCUGUCGUGAAAUCUCCCGGCUUAACUGGGAGGGUGCGGCGGAAACUGGAGUGCUAGAGGGUGGGAGAGGAAAGCGGAAUUCCUGGUGUAGCGGUGAAAUGCGUAGAGAUGUGGAGGAACACCAGUGGCGAAGGCGACUCUUUGGCCUGUAACUGACGCUGAGGCGCGAAAGCGUGGGGAGCAAACAGG
rnacentral:rRNA from 1 species